CCUACGGGAGGCUGCAGUGGGGAAUAUUGCACAAUGGGGGGAACCCUGAUGCAGCGACGCCGCGUGAGUGAAGAAGUAUUUCGGUAUGUAAAGCUCUAUCAGCAGGGAAGAAAAUGACGGUACCUGACUAAGAAGCCCCGGCUAACUACGUGCCAGCAGCCGCGGUAAUACGUAGGGGGCAAGCGUUAUCCGGAUUUACUGGGUGGAAAGGGAGCGCAGACGGCUGUGCAAGUCUGGAGUGAAAGGCGGGGGCCCAACCCCCGGACUGCUCUGGAAACUGUAAAGCUGGAGUGCAGGAGAGGUAAGCGGAAUUCCUAGUGUAGCGGUGAAAUGCAUAGAUAUUACACAGAACACCGAUUGCGAAGGCAGCUUGCUAGGCCGGAUCUGACACUGAUGCACGAAAGCGUGGGGAUCGAACAGGAUUAGAUACCCUUGUAGUC
rnacentral:rRNA from 1 species